AGAGUUUGAUCCUGGCUCAGAUUGAACGCUGGCGGCAUGCCUAACACAUGCAAGUCGAACGGCAGCAUGACCUAGCUUGCUAGGUUGAUGGCGAGUGGCGCACGGGUGAGUAAUGCGUAGGAAUAUACCUUGAAGUGGGGGAUAACUUGGGGAAACCCAAGCUAAUACCGCAUGAGCUCUAAGGAGGAAAGCUGGGGACCUGAAAGGGCCUGGCGCUUUAAGAUUAGCCUACGUCCGAUUAGCUAGUUGGUAGGGUAAAGGCCUACCAAGGCUACGAUCGGUAGCUGGUCUGAGAGGAUGGUCAGCCACACUGGGACUGAGACACGGCCCAGACUCCUACGGGAGGCAGCAGUGGGGAAUAUUGGACAAUGGGGGCAACCCUGAUCCAGCAAUGCCGCGUGUGUGAAGAAGGCCUGCGGGUUGUAAAGCACUUUCGGUGGGGAGGAGGACUAUUAGGUUAAGAGCUAGAUAGUUGGACGUUACCCAAAGAAGAAGCACCGGCUAACUCCGUGCCAGCAGCCGCGGUAAUACGGAGGGUGCGAGCGUUAAUCGGAAUUACUGGGCGUAAAGAGUGCGUAGGCGGUUUAAUAAGUUAAGUGUGAAAUCCCCGGGCUUAACCUGGGUUGGUCAUUUAAGACUGUUAGACUAGAGUAUGGGAGAGGGUAGUGGAAUUUCCGGUGUAGCGGUGAAAUGCGUAGAGAUCGGAAGGAACACCAGUGGCGAAGGCGGCUACCUGGCCUAAUACUGACGCUGAGGCACGAAAGCAUGGGGAGCAAACAGGAUUAGAUACCCUGGUAGUCCAUGCUGUAAACGAUGUCAACUAGUUGUUGGGCGUAUAAAUACGUUUAGUAGCGAAGCAACGCGAUAAGUUGACCGCCUGGGGAGUACGGUCGCAGAUUAAACUCAAGGAUUGACGGGGCCC
rnacentral:rRNA from 1 species